CUGGGCAGCUUUUCUGCAGCCACUGGUUUACCUGCCCCAGGUGGCAAGAUGCAGCUUCAUAGGGUGGGGCUGUGGUGCAAAGACUGGGGGAUGAAAGACAGGCUUCCUAACAGGAUGCAGCUGAGGGAGCCGUGUGCUGACAGAACAAUUUGCUGGUGCCCAGAAUAUCAGCCCAGCUCUGCAAAGCGGCAGCCAGGGCGUCAGGAGAAAUUUCAGGAUUUAUCAUUUGCCGGGGUGUCAGGCUUUCUGGGAGCCGCACGCUUCCCACGUCACUUUUCCAGACCUGCAGCCUUGACAGGCUGUCCAUAGAGGCUUCCAGAGCCUUAGGAGUAACAUGCAAAACUAGUCCCUUUUUCUCCCUUCCUGAUCCACUGGUGUUUAUGUAAAUGACUGGAAAAGUAGUUUUAGGCUUAUUUCUGGAGCUUAAGGGCUUGGUAAGAAGCCUAUUAUUGAAAAAUCAGAAAACGGAAAAGCAACUUCUUAGACAAUGAAUUAGCAGCUCGAGGAGUGUGUGUAAGGCCGAGUGCACCGUAACUGGCUGCCUUGCAAAUAGGAUCUCCCCCGGGACUCAGUCAUCAAACACGUGGCAACAGGAUGUCUGUUUCAACACAGCGAGUAAUCAAAGGAGAUUUGCAGUUAAUCCAAAUAGAACAGAGAAAUGUCCAAGGGAAGGCCAGGAAGAGGAGACUAGAAGCAAGGUGAGGGGCAGCCCAGAGCUUUUGGACCUGGAAUGCCAAGUGCAACUGAGACAGCCUUGGAGGGCUGGAGGGUUGGGGGCUGAUCCACUCAGCCCCUGAAGCACCAGCCACCCAGAGGGGAGACCGAGGCUUGGCUUGUGUUGAUGCAAAUGAGAACAUGAACCCAGCGCCUGGCUCUUCUGCUUCACCAGCAAGCGCUUCGCCAUCAUGGACCCUGCUGCCACGGUAACACCAUCGGAGACCGGAGCCCUCUGUCUGACCAGAGCGCCUGGCUGGGAAGGGGUCUGGGGCUUCAUAUGCCUCAGCUGUCCAUCAUGUUUGACCUGCAUGGACCUCCGUGGGUCAUGGGGGAAGCCAGCUGGCCAGAGACAAAAAGAGAAGCAAAUUCAAUAAAGCAUCGUCGUCAAAAGGAUGAGCCUGUGAGAGCAAGUGGAAGAGAGGACAUGAGGAGAGGGUGGGCAGGUAGGCGCCUGGCCCCGGCUGGGAAGUGUGGCUUCUACCUGGAGAGGAGGUCCGCUCUCUGUCCAUCUCCAGACUGAACCCCUCUGUGGCUCAACGCUGAAGCCCCAUCAGUGCCGAACCCACAUACUGCACGUCCCUCUCAUCCCAUACCUGCUUCUGCUCGGCACAGGCCAGAUUCUCUGGGGACAGGGUUUGCUGAAAAGGUUCAAGGUCUGUGAUUUUUGAGUGACUUUUCCCUGGGGUGUCCUAACCUCUCUCUGAUGUCCCGGGAAACUCCCUGUAGGCAGGAUGUGCCGGGGGUAAUUGCACCUGCCUGGGUAAGGGUGUAGUUUCCACAUUCUCUAGAGAGUCUGACGGAGCUGGGGGAACUGGGCCACCCCUACUCCAUUCACUUCAUCCCAGCACCACUCCCCUGCCGUCAUGUUGGCCCACUCAGGUGGCCGGUAUCUCUGGGACUUCUCGACAGACACAGCUACAGAGACAGCAGCCUCUUAGCUGGGCUCUCAGAAUCUAGUGAACUCAAGAACUCUGCUGUGAUGCUCUCAACCCUCCUCUCCAAAGUCCUAGAGAGAAGCCCAAGCAGUCAGUCCUGAGGCCUCCAAGCAAUAGAAGAAAGAAAGAGCAGUGGACAUGUGUGGCCUCCUCCACCGGCCCCACAUCCCUCUCUGUUGAAACUGUGCUUUGCUCGGCCCAGGAGAGGAGUGACUUGGCGCUACAGCACCUGAGCCAUGGGUGGGUGAUGAUGGAGGACCGUGUAGACGGAGGGAGCCGACCAGUGCCUUCACCCGAGAGAUCAUGACAUCCUGCCUGUUCUGUUGACAUCCUGCCUGGACUGAUGAAGUAGUCAGUUCUGCUGCCGCCACACCAUCCAUCCAUCCUUUACAUCAUGAGUCGGACAGUCCACUCUCCAAACAGCAGCCUAAAUAAUGCUUUCCAGAAGAGAUGAGACUUUGUCACUCCCCCUUGAUGCUAAGAAGAAAGUCCACACUCCUCCCUGCAGGCUCUGAUGUCGAGGACCCUAGAGGACCCUCCGCCACCUCUUAGAGGCUCUUCUGUAUCAUCUUCCUCAGAGACUUUGCUCCAGAAUCUCGAUCUGUCCUCUGCCCUCUGUCUCUCAGACUUGUCUGACAUCAGGGACUGUUCUUCCAGGCUUUCUGCCUGGAGCUUUCCCCCUCCAGACUUGCCCAGGGAGGGCUGAUUUCAGAAAUUCCAUCUCAGAGAGGCCGUUUGCAUCCAGCCUCUGUCCAUGUGAUCCAGCCUUUCCUGGUACACAUUCUCCACCCAUCACACAGGCCCCUACCACUCCUGAGGCUAGCUCGUUAAUUUGUUUACUUGUGUGUCACUUAUUUCCUCCCACUAAGAUGUUAGUUCAAGACAGAAAGGGUUACAUAUUGUAGAUUCACUUCUUUGUAUAGCAGAAACUAACAUGCACACACACAGAGUCAGUCCUCAUCAGAUUUUCUCUAAACUGCUCACUUUGCAAACUGAAUGAUAAUUUAAUAUUAAAGAAUAUUUUAAA